AGAGUUUGAUCCUGGCUCAGAACGAACGUUGGCGACGCGUUUUAAGCAUGCAAGUCGAGCGGCAGCAGGCCUUCGGGUGCUGGCGAGCGGCGGACUGGUGAGUAACGCGUAGAAUAUCUGUCUGUCAGACCGGGAUAGCUAGUGGAAACACUAAUUAAUACCGGAUAUAAUGGCUUGCCAUGAAAGACCCGUUUGGGUCACUGAUAGAUGAUUCUGCGUCCUAUUAGCUUGUUGGCGGGGUAACGGCCCACCAAGGCGAUGAUAGGUAGCCGACCUGAGAGGGUGUACGGCCACAUUGGGACUGAGAUACGGCCCAGACUCCUACGGGAGGCAGCAGCUAAGAAUAUUCCGCAAUGGACGCAAGUCUGACGGAGCGACGUCGCGUGGAUGAUGAAGGCCUUCGGGUUGUAAAAUCCUUUCGGCAGGGAAGAAUAAGUAAGGCAGGAAAUGGUCUGACGAUGACGGUACCUGCAUAAGAAGCCCCGGCUAACUACGUGCCAGCAGCCGCGGUAAUACGUAGGGGGCAAAACGUUGUUCGGAAUCAUUGGGCGUAAAGCGCGCGUAGGCGGUCUCGUAAGUUGGUGGUCAAAUACCCAGGCUCAACCUGGGGAAUGCCACUGAUACUGCGCGACUCGAGUUACGUUAAGGCAGUGGGAAUUCCUGGUGUAGGGGUGAAAUCUGUAGAUAUCAGGAGGAACACCGAUGGCGAAGGCAAACUGCUGGACGAUAACUGACGCUGAGGUGCGAAAGCCAGGGGAGCGAACGGGAUUAGAUACCCCGGUAGUCCUGGCCGUAAACGAUGCACACUAGUUGUUGGGUGUUUUAACAAUACUCAGUGACGUAGUAAACGCAAUAAGUGUGCCGCCUGGGGAGUAUGCCCGCAAGGGUGAAACUCAAAGGAAUUGACGGGGGCCCGCACAAGCGGUGGAGCAUGUGGUUUAAUUCGAUGUACGCGAAGAAUCUUACCUGGGUUUAAAUGCUGGUGGCUAUCUUCAGAGAUGAAGAGUUCCUUCGGGACUGCCUGUAAGGUGCUGCAUGGCUGUCGUCAGCUCGUGUCGUGAGAUGUUGGGUUAAGUCCCGCAACGAGCGCAACCCUCACCCUUUGUUGCUAGUCAGUCUUCGGACUGAAGGACUCUUAGGGAACUGCUCCGGUUAACGGGGAGGAAGGUGGGGAUGACGUCAAGUCCUCAUGGCCCUUAUGUCCAGGGCUACACACGUGCUACAAUGGGAUAUACAAAGAGAAGCCAAGCCACGAGGUGGAGCAAAACUCAAAAAGUAUCCCCCAGUUCAGAUUGCAGUCUGAAACUCGACUGCAUGAAGGUGGAAUCGCUAGUAACCGCAGAUCAGCAUGCUGCGGUGAAUACGUUCUCGGGCCUUGUACACACCGCCCGUCACACCACCCGGGUCAAGUCUACCCGAAGUCCCAGCAAUGGGCCGAAGGUAAGCUCGAUAAGGAGGGUGAAGUCGUAACAAGGCGGCCGUACCGGAAGGUGUGG
rnacentral:rRNA from 1 species